UAUAAAGUGGUUAUAGACCAGGGGUGGCCAAUCUGAGCCUGAGAAGGAGCCAGAAUUUACCAAUGUACAUUGCCAGAGAGCCACAGUAAUACGUCAGCAGCCCCCCCAAUCAGCUCCCCAGCCCACAACACCUCCCGCCUGCCGGCAGCCUCCACCAAUCAGCACCUACUCCCCCCUCU